UCCAACAAACUCAAACUCUCUCUCUCUCUCUCUCUCUCUCUCUCUCUCUCAUCUUCUUCUUCUUACUGCUACUGCUACUGCUACUACUAUAUAUCUAGGGUUUGGAGGUGCAAUCAGUGAUAUCAUUCAUCAAGAAGACGACGAAGAUGGACUCGACGAUGAGAUUGUUCUGUAUUUCUGUUGUUGUGUUAGUCUUUUGUGUCUGUUCACUACCAAGAUCGGCCGCGGAGACCGAGGCUUGCCGAAAGGUUUACCGCGAAGGCGGUGCAAUGGCGGUGAUUCGUUCUCCAGAAUGUCCUCGUUGGGGUCACUCACUCUCAUGGGGACGUUUGACUGACUCAACUACGGUGUAUUGCUCAGAGGCCAUUCUCGAUGCUCUUGGGCGAGAUUUCACUCACAAUCACUUCUUUUGCGACGUUGAUAUUAGGUUUCCUCUUCGCCGUCUCCAGAAAGAAGCUACAUUGGGUAUUGUAGCUAUUUUUGAUGGCCAUUAUAGCAAUGAAGCUAGUGAGACGGCAUGGAAGUAUAUUGAGGAAUACUUCUUCCUACACACGUAUUUUCUAUUUGAUAGGCUGGAGGGUGAUAAUUUUGAUGGUUCCUACGUUAAAAUGUUAAAGGAAGCAUUGGUAAGAGCGAUCCACGAUAUUAAGAAUAGGUAUACAGCAACCAUCAUAGUUAUGGUAGACGAUCACCUAUUCCUAUCCAGCCUCGAUGGAAGUGCUGAGGUUGCUACCGGUAGCUGCAGUCGUUGGAUGGCUGCUUCUCAAUCUCAAUCUCAAUCUGUGUGUGAAGUAUCUUCUAGAAGGUUAGAUGGUGAUGGAUGGGGCUAUUCACUGAAGAACCUUAUCUAAAACAUAUCAGGCACAAAAAGUAAGCCAGAAAGAUGUUAAAGAUGAUUAGCUGACCUGCAGCAGGCUCCACGGUAUGGCCUGUCUCAAUGCCAAUUUUGCUUGUGAACUUGUAGAUUUGAAUUGAACAGAUUUGUAUUUAAAAGGAUAGAAGCCUGUGGCUUGCACCAUUUUGGGGUUGCUUCUUUCACAGAUGUUCAAAGGGACUUCUGGGCUUGAAAGGAGUUCAGUUUAGUAAUUGAUCAAGAUCCAAGAGGUUCAAACCAUUUUGAGAUUUCUUUCAACAGUGAUGCCAAUGGUCUUUUAAUUCUGAAGAAAGAUUGAAAGGAGCAUUGGUAAGGUUGAAAAUUUCACUUUUAUCUUGUCUGAGUAAAAAACAGGUUGAAGAUUUGGUUAUGAAGGUGAAAGAAUGCUGACUGAUGCAGGGAAACCUACUGAAUUUUCAGAAUAGAGGCUAUUUGACAGCAUAAACAGUGAGUAAUUUAAGGUUGUAAUGGUUAAAUAAGGCCAUAAUAGGUAGGAGAAGGGAUUAGGGUUGAUUUGGGGUGAUAGGAAGAGGUUUUGGGGCCGAAAUGUGUACUAUCAGAGGGAUGUGAAUAGUAACCUAAGAAUAGUAACUGGGGCAUGUGCACAAAGAAGAAAGAGAAGAAGGAGAAGU